UCCCAGCCACAUGUAAAUCCACCCAGCAAGAAAUCAAAACCAGCAUCAAUCAAUCCGGGGACAUGGGUUCCCUCUAUAUAGGCGAACGAUCCCAGAGUUGCAGGAGAGUCAGGCCCAAAGCUCCACCCUCUCUCUCUCUCUCUCUCUCUCUCUUCUCUUUCUCUCUCUCUCUCUCCUGAGUCAAGCUGCCUUCUACCUCGAAGAAGCAUGGCCGAGGUUCGCUACGCAGGAGUGAUGACGCCGUCGGCCUUGGUUGUCCUCUGCAUUUUGGUGAACAGUGGUCGGCUUUCAAAAGCUGGCCUUCUGCCUCGAGUUGAGUCUGAGGAAAUGCUGCCCAGAUUCGUGAUGAUUUUCUCUUUCUGUCGAGAGCUCUUUUGGGCAUUCCAUGCGACGGCGGAUCCGCCAGGAGGGCCGACGAGGAGAUGAUUUCUGCAAUUUUUGGGCAUAACGGCAUCCCGAAUGAAGCCGUCGCGAAGGGCCAAGGCGCGCCGGCGAAGCAUGUAGGAUGUCCAUUUGGAGUCGUUCUCGGGUGCAUCGGCUCAUCUGAGCCCAACACAUUCCUUUCCUUAGUUCGUGCGACUCCCACCGGGACCGAUCGACACGAAAGAUCCAGGUGCUCCGAACUUACAUGCGACCGGAUCGGUUAAGAAAUUUUUCUUCGUUUGUCGGAUAUAAUCCGAUUAAGUUCCUUACGCCGGCUAACGUGUGCGACCCGCUCUCCACCUGUUUCAUGUGGUCUUUAAAAAAUUCGGUUAUUGGUUGGACUCGAGGUCGACAGGUUCAUCAACUUGCAAGAACUGGCUCCAGCCAUUGGUAGUGUACUAUGUCUCUCCUUUGUUAAUUUGUAUGGAUUCUCUCUUUUUGUU